rnacentral:rRNA from 1 species
UGGGGAAUUUUGGACAAUGGGGGCAACCCUGAUCCAGCAAUGCCGCGUGUGUGAAGAAGGCCUUCGGGUUGUAAAGCACUUUUGUCCGGAAAGAAAACGCCGUGGUUAAUACCCGUGGCGGAUGACGGUACCGGAAGAAUAAGCACCGGCUAACUACGUGCCAGCAGCCGCGGUAAUACGUAGGGUGCAAGCGUUAAUCGGAAUUACUGGGCGUAAAGCGUGCGCAGGCGGUCCGCUAAGACAGAUGUGAAAUCCCCGGGCUUAACCUGGGAACUGCAUUUGUGACUGGCGGGCUAGAGUAUGGCAGAGGGGGGUAGAAUUCCACGUGUAGCAGUGAAAUGCGUAGAGAUGUGGAGGAAUACCGAUGUCGAAGGCAGCCCCCUGGGCCAAUACUGACGCUCAUGCACGAAAGCGUGGGGAGCAAACAGGAUUAGAUACCCUGGUAGUCCACGCCCUAAACGAUGUCAACUAGUUGUCGGGUCUUCAUUGACUUGGUAACGUAGCUAACGCGUGAAGUUGACCGCCUGGGGAGUACGGUCGCAAGAUUAAAACUCAAAUGAAUUGACGGGGUCAUAGCUGUUUCCUG